rnacentral:rRNA from 1 species
CACGUAGGGGGCAAGCGUUGUCCGGAAUCAUUGGGCGUAAAGAGCUCGUAGGCGGCUCGGUAAGUCGGGUGUGAAAUCCCCAGGCUUAACCUGGGAACUGCAUCCGAUACUGGAUGGCUUGAAUUCCGGGGAGAGGGAUGCAGAAUUCCAGGUGUAGCGGUGAAAUGCGUAGAUAUCUGGAGGAAUACCGGUGGCGAAGGCGGCAUCCUGGACCGGCAUUGACGCUGAUGAGCGAAAGCUAGGGGAGCAACGGGG